rnacentral:rRNA from 1 species
UACGUAGGUGGCAAGCGUUGUCCGGAUUUACUGGGCGUAAAGAGCGCGCAGGCGGUCGGAUAAGUCGAAUGUGAAAGCCCCUGGCUCAACCAGGGAGGGUCAUUCGAUACUGUUCGACUCGAAGGCAGGAGAGGGAAGUGGAAUUCCGGGUGUAGUGGUGAAAUGCGUAGAUAUCCGGAGGAACACCAGUGGCGAAGGCGGCCACCUGGACUGCACCUGACGCUGACACGCGAAAGCUAGGGGAACGAACGGG